rnacentral:lncRNA from 1 species
UCGCCAGCAGCCGUCCGGAGCCAGCCAACGAGCGGAAAAUGGCAGACAAUUUUUCGCAGCAGAUUUGGGAAGAAAGCCAGGCAGAGCGAGGCCUGGGACUCACUCACAGUAACCCUUUCACCAAAAGGCCCAGGGCGGAAGGGAGUGGACUCUGCCGGCAGGAGCUGAGAAAUCCUCUGAGUAGCGGGAAGUGCGCUCCAUGAUGCGUUAUCUGGGUCUGGAAACCCAAACCCUCAAGGAUGGCCUGGCGCAUGGGGGAACCAGCCUGCUGGGGCAGGGGGCUACCCAGGGGCUUCCUAUCCUGGGGCCUACCCCGGGCAGGCACCCCCAGGGGCUUAUCCUGGACAGGCACCUCCAGGCGCCUACCCUGGAGCACCUGGAGCUUAUCCCGGAGCACCUGCACCUGGAGUCUACCCAGGGCCACCCAGCGGCCCUGGGGCCUACCCAUCUUCUGGACAGCCAAGUGCCACCGGAGCCUACCCUGCCACUGGCCCCUAUGGCGCCCCUGCUGGGCCACUGAUUGUGCCUUAUAACCUGCCUUUGCCUGGGGGAGUGGUGCCUCGCAUGCUGAUAACAAUUCUGGGCACGGUGAAGCCCAAUGCAAACAGAAUUGCUUUAGAUUUCCAAAGAGGGAAUGAUGUUGCCUUCCACUUUAACCCACGCUUCAAUGAGAACAACAGGAGAGUCAUUGUUUGCAAUACAAAGCUGGAUAAUAACUGGGGAAGGGAAGAAAGACAGUCGGUUUUCCCAUUUGAAAGUGGGAAACCAUUCAAAAUACAAGUACUGGUUGAACCUGACCACUUCAAGGUUGCAGUGAAUGAUGCUCACUUGUUGCAGUACAAUCAUCGGGUUAAAAAACUCAAUGAAAUCAGCAAACUGGGAAUUUCUGGUGACAUAGACCUCACCAGUGCUUCAUAUACCAUGAUAUAAUCUGAAAGGGGC